ACUGUAUGUGUGAACAUUACAACUGGUUGGGAUUAAAAAUGAAUCACAAUGCACUUUUUAAACGGCUGAGAGGUUAAUGGGCCUUAUCCCAAGAACUUCUGUAUCAUGUAAAAUAGCUUAGUAACGUGUAGGCUCCUCCAUACACGGGCAACUGUGACAGUAGCCUUAUUGAACGUUAUCACCUGACUGAAGCCACCUUGUUUUUU